GUAAUAUUUUGCAAGCCCUGCCACAUCCGAAGAGCAUCGGAGCCGGUGUAGUACAACUCAAUCUUGGUCCUGUAUUGACGCUUUGCCUGUUUGAUGGUUCGUCGGAAGGCUUAGUGGGAUUUCUAAUAAGCUUCCGGGUUAGAGUGUCGCUCCUAGAAAGCGGCAGCUCUACCCUUCCAUUGAAUUAUCUUGUGUCGAUCAAAACAGCUGGACAUAAUGAAGUCACACCAACAACAACAAAAAUUGUUGUAAAUACCUAGUGUCGGAUAAAAAUGUUCUGGUUGAAGUGUUUCCAUUACUCAUUUAGGCAUAUUACGCAUAAAGAAAUUGCAGACUGCCUGUAGGCUAUGCCCUCCCACCUAUCUGUUUCAUGUCUUAGGUAGCCCGUGAAAGCCAGCAUGAAUAGAAUGCAAUAAUUGCCGAAUACUUGCCAUAUUCUAAUAAUGAUCAUGUUUCAACGCAUCAGCACGGUCGGUGCCAUGGUGAAACUUGCACUCCUGUAGAUAUGAAAUAAUAUAUGUAUAUACUGAACGAGUCAAAAGUUUGGACACACCUAUUCAUUCAAGGGUUUUUCUUUAUUUUUACUAUUGACUUAUUGAGUAUAUCUGUUUUACAGCUUUGUCAUUAUAUUUUUCAUAUUUAAAACAUCUUAUUUUAUUAUUUUCUAUAGGCCUAUUUGACAUGUUAAUAAAAUGACCUAAAAUCCUUAAGUUUCCAAAAUGUUGGUAGAUUACUUACAUUUUUUAAUAAGUUACCGUAACAUUCCCUCCCUUUGCAACCCUGAGUUCACCUAACAUGUGUGUGCAUGUGUGGAAGGGAAUGCCACCAGUCUGUGAGGAGAGAGGGAGUGUUCCUGAAGGGCUGACUUACAUUCUGCCAGUGCAUGGACAGAGAGUGACUGAAGGUGUGUCAGCUCCACCACCACCAACUCAUCCAGAGGUCGCCCCCUGCCUGCACAUUGACUACGUCAGGAUAGGACCUGUUGGGAAACACACACACUACAGACUCCAACAUACUGUAGAUGUUCAAAAUAGAGUUAAAGGUCCAAUGCAGCCAUUUUUGGCUCAAAAUCAAAUAAUUUCUGGUCGAUUAUUAAGUACCUUACUGUGAUUGGUUUCAAAACCCAUCUUGGCAAAUGUAUGUUUGUCAUGUAAACUAAUGAGGCACAUUUGUACUACGAGCUGAUGGAAAGGGACGUUUUUCAAUCAAAUACAGUCUGUGAAACAUAACAUACCCUGUGAAAGUAGCCGCCCUUUCCUCUUGACUUCCGUAUCAUGUACCCUAAUCUUUUGAUGAGCUUCAUGACUAUAUCAUACAUUUUGUGAAAAUGGGGUCAUUUAAUAUAUAUGAAAUUGUAUUUGUUUGUGAAUUAAUUUACUUCUACCAGAUAAAUGCCUUUUAUUAAGUUUUUGCGCUGAAGAACAUUGCGUUACGUUUUUGUCCAUUGAAUACCUUCAAAAUUGCUACAAAAGUAAAAAAACGUCAAGGCUACUUCUUUGAAAAUGAUGUGUCAGUUGCAUAGCUUAUUAUGUUAAGUGAUCAAGAUGCAGUUUAGUGGAAUCAGACAUGUGACCUUCCUUGAACAUCAGCCUUACAUGUACCAUUUAGCUCCAUCUACUGGGUGACAAGGGCAUUGCUGAAACAGCUUUACGUCAGUUUCAAUAUCAAAUACAUUUUUGGUCACAUACACAUAUUUAGCAGAUGUUAUUGUGGGUGUAGCGAAAUGCUUGUGCUCCUAGCUCCAACAGUGCAGUAGUAUCUAACAAUUCACAACAAUACACACAAAUAUAAAAGCAAACGAAUGGAAUUAAGAAAUAUAUAAAUAUUCGUUUGAGAAAUGUCAGAGUGGCAUUGACUAAAAUGCA
ensembl:lncRNA